AAGCAGAAAUGUCCUCGGAGCCCUCCGGAAGGCCAUAGAAGUGGAUUUCAAGGACAAAAACAAACAUGAGUCUCAGGGCAUCUACCUCUUCACCGGGGGUAUCCCUGACCAAGAUGUGGUGAGUAGCCCUCAUCCUAGACACCUAUUGUCUCAUUUGUUGUUGAGAUAGGGUCUCACUAUGUAGUCCUAGCUGCUCUGGAAUGUGCUUAUAUAAACCAGGCUGGCCUCGAACUAACAGGGCUGGGAUUAAUGAGCCACCAUGUUCAUUUUCUUCUUGUCUUUUAUUUUCUGCGGUGUUGAAUAUGGACUUCAGGCCCUUGCUUUUGCUAGGCAAGCAUUCUACUGCUGAGCCACACCCCCCAACCCAGCAUGAUUAUCUGAGCUACCUCUCCUCAAAUACAAGAACCUAGCGAUAAUGUCAUAGCACAGCUCCUGGCUCAGCAGGUCUCAGGUGGGCCAGACAGCUCCCAGGAUCUCCAUGCUACUGCAUAGAGACCACAGUACACAUAACUAGGCUUUCAAGCUCAAAUCCCUGCAGUACCCUAUUAACACAUGGGAAGAAGUUGUGUCUCAGGCUCAUAUCUUUCUGCCUUUGCAUACAGACCUGGACCGAGCACACAGUUGAGCAUCAAGCAAGAUGAUCAGAGGGCUAGAAAGAUGGCUCAGUAAUUAAGAACAUCUACUACUUUUGUAGAAGACCCAAGUUCAAUUCCCAGCUCCCAUGUCACAACAUUGCUCAUAACUGUCUGCAAUUACAAUGCCCUCUUCUGACCUCUGUGGGAACUUGCACUUACAUGUGGUAUACCCACCUCCUCAUAACACACACAUACACAACCUGACACACACAAUAAUUUCUUUUUUUAAUUUUUUAAUGGUUUUCUUUCUAAAGACUUAUUUAUUUUUAUGUGCAUUCGUAUUUUGACUGCAUGUACAUCUAUGAAGGUGUCACAUCUCCUGGAACUAGAGUUACAGACAGGUGUGAGCUGUCACAUGGGGACUGGGAGUUGAACCUAAGUCCUCUGGAAGAACAACCAGUCAGUCCUCUUAACCACUGAACCAACUGUCCAGCCGCCCCUCCCCCAAUGUCUUUGUUUUUUAAAAGAAAGAUGAUCACCUGGGAGGUGGUGGUGCACACUUUUAAUCCCAGCACUCAGGAGGCAGAGGCAGGCAGAUCUCUAAGUUCGAGGCCAGCCUGGUCUACAGAGCAAGUUUCAGGACAGCCAGGGCUUGAAAAACCAAAAAGAGAAAGAAAGGAAAAGAAGAGAAAAGAAAAAAGAUGAUCUGCUGAACUAUUGGAAGAUCAGCAGCACCCAGGUCUCAGGUGAGGACUUCCUCUCUUCUCUUCCCCAUAGCACAUACUCAGCGCCUAUGUGGCAGAGGCCUAUGGGGGGUGCGACCUCCAGCUAAAUGUCUGUCUCUUCUAUGUGGGCGAACCACAGAUGGACACCACACCCCCUGCCUGCUACGCCAGCCGUACUGACACUGCUACUGCCUACAAAGAGAUCACCCAGGCUGCCCGUGGUCGCUUCCACUGGUUUGGAGAGACAGGUACGUGGACAUUUCCUGGCCCUUUGCCUCUUUCUAUCCAGACAGUUUCUCAGCACUGACAUGGGCCCUUUUGAUGUUAAAAUAGUGUCAAGAAGCAAGAUGUAAAAGGUAAUAUUUAUUAAAUUAGGCGGGCUGGAGAGACGGCUGAGCUGUUAGGAGCACUUGUUCUUGCAGAGGACCCACCGCUGAUUCCCAGCACCCACAUGGCGAUUCACAACCAUCUCUAACUCCAGUUAACUCAGGGAGUCCGAUAUUUUCUUCUUGGCCUUUCAGGGCAUCUCUCACUAAUGUUGUGCACAAACAUACAUGCAGGCAAAACAUCCAUACAUAGAAAAUAAUAAAACAAUUUUAAAAAUUAAAUUUAGGAGGGCAGAGAUGCCAUUCAAUGGGUAGAGGGACUUGCAAACAAGUUCAAUCCCUAGAGCACACAUGGUAGAAGAAGAAAAUCAACUCUCAAAAGUAGUUCUCUGACCUUAACACAUAAGUUGUGGCAUGAACAUGUAUAUGAGUGUGUAAGCACACAUAAAUUAAACUAGGGGCUGGGAUGUGGCUCAGAGGUCAAGGACAUGCUUAGCAUUUUUAGGCCCCUAGAUUCCAUCCCCAGCCCUCG
rnacentral:lncRNA from 1 species